UGCUGGGGGAGUUUUUUACUGAGACGGCAAUUUGCCGAACCCUUAUUACUUGAUCCGGGUAAUACCGGCGUAAGGAAGCAGUGAC
rnacentral:ncRNA from 1 species